UACGAAGGUCCCAAGCGUUGUUCGGAAUCACUGGGCGUAAAGGGAGCGUAGGCGGCGUGGUAAGUCAGAUGUGAAAUCCCGGGGCUCAACCCCGGAACUGCAUCCGAUACUGCCAUGCUAGAGGAUUGGAGAGGUAGCUGGAAUUCCUGGUGUAGCGGUGAAAUGCGCAGAUAUCAGGAGGAACACCGGUGGCGAAGGCGGGUCUCUGGGCCGAUGACUGACGCUGAGGAGCGAAAGCGUGGGGAGCGAACAGG
rnacentral:rRNA from 1 species